GGCUCCUACGGGGCGCAGCAGGGGGGAAUAUUGCACAAUGGGGGAAACCCUGAUGCAGCGACGCCGCGUGAGCGAAGAAGUAUCUCGGUAUGUAAAGCUUUAUCAGCAGGGAAGAAAAUGACGGUACCUGACUAAGAAGCCCCGGCUAACUACGUGCAAGCAGCGGCGGUAAUACGUAGGGGGCAAGCGUUAUCCGGAUUUACUGGGUGUAAAGGGAGCGCAGGCGGCGCG
rnacentral:rRNA from 1 species